rnacentral:rRNA from 1 species
GACGAACGCUGGCGGCGCGCUUAACACAUGCAAGUCGAGCGAAGCGGCGGACGGGUGAGUAACACGUGAGUAACCUGCCUUAGACAUUGGGAUAGCCUCGGGAAACCGGGAUUAAUACCAAAUGGUCUAAGAUGGACUCGCGUCCCAUUAGCUAGUUGGUGAGGUAACGGCCCACCAAGGCGACGACGGGUAGCCGGCCUGAGAGGGUGACCGGCCACAUUGGGACUUGGAUACCGGCCAAGCUAUUACGGAGGCAGCAGUGGGGGAAAUUUCCCAAUGGGCGGAAGGCCGAUGCAGCGACGCCGCGUGGGGGAUGAAGGCUUUUGGGGUUUAAACCUCUUUCGCCAACGAACAAGGCUCAUUUUUUUGGUGGGUUGAGGGUAGGUGGAGAAGAAGGCCGCUAACUACGUCCAGCAGCCGCGGUAAUAC